rnacentral:rRNA from 1 species
AGUGAACGCUGGCGGUAGGCCUAACACAUGCAAGUCGAACGGCAGCACAGUAAGAGCUUGCUCUUACCGGUGGCGAGUGGCGGACGGGUGAGGAAUACAUCGGAAUCUACUUUUUCGUGGGGGAUAACGUAGGGAAACUUACGCUAAUACCGCAUACGACCUACGGGUGAAAGCAGGGGAUCUUCGGACCUUGCGCGAUUGAAUGAGCCGAUGUCGGAUUAGCUAGUUGGCGGGGUAAAGGCCCACCAAGGCGAAGAUCCGUAGCUGGUCUGAGAGGAUGAUCAGCCACACUGGAACUGAGACACGGUCCAGACUCCUACGGGAGGCAGCAGUGGGGAAUAUUGGACAAUGGGCGCAAGCCUGAUCCAGCCAUACCGCGUGGGUGAAGAAGGCCUUCGGGUUGUAAAGCCCUUUUGUUGGGAAAGAAAAGCAGCAGGUUAAUACCCCGCUGUUCUGACGGUACCCAAAGAAUAAGCACCGGCUAACUUCGUG